rnacentral:rRNA from 1 species
CAAUAGCGUAUAUUAAAGUUGUUGCAGUUAAAAAGCUCGUAGUUGGAUUUCUGGUUGAAGCGACCGGUCGGGCGUUGAUUCGUCUGCACUGGAGUCGGUUUUGGCCAUCCUCUAGGAAAGUGCGUCUGGUAUUAAGUUAUCGGGCGUAUGAUCCUGGUCUUUUACUGUGAAAAAAUUAGAGUGUUUAAAGCAGGCCUUCGCCUUGAAUACAUUAGCAUGGAAUAAUAAGAUAGGACUUUGGUCUAUUUUGUUGGUUUGCAGACCGAAGUAAUGAUUAUAGGGAUAGUUGGGGGUAUUUAUAUUCCGAUGUCAGAGGUGAAAUUCUUAGAUUUUCGGAAGAUAAACUUAUGCGAAAGCAUUUACCAAGGAUGUUUUCAUUA